CCUACGGGUGGUAGCAGUGGGGAAUAUUGGACAAUGGGGGGAACCCUGAUCCAGCCAUGCCGCGUGUGUGAAGAAGGCCCUCGGGUUGUAAAGCACUUUCAGUGAGGAAGAACGCCUGGUGGUUAAUACCCAUCAGGAAAGACAUCACUCACAGAAGAAGCACCGGCUAACUCCGUGCCAGCAGCCGCGGUAAUACGGAGGGUGCGAGCGUUAAUCGGAAUUACUGGGCGUAAAGCGCGCGUAGGUGGCUUGAUAAGCCGGUUGUGAAAGCCCCGGGCUCAACCUGGGAACGGCAUCCGGAACUGUCAAGCUAGAGUGCAGGAGAGGAAGGUAGAAUUCCCGGUGUAGCGGUGAAAUGCGUAGAGAUCGGGAGGAAUACCAGUGGCGAAGGCGGCCUUCUGGACUGACACUGACACUGAGGUGCGAAAGCGUGGGUAGCAAACAGGAUUAGAUACCCUAGUAGUC
rnacentral:rRNA from 1 species